UUUCUCCUCUUCAGCUAUGAGCUCCACAUUCCCCUAUAUCAGUGGUUCUCACCUCCAGUUAUCAGGGCCCACUGCUCUACACAUUUUGUGUGUCUCCCUCAUUUAACGCAGCUGAUUCAGAUCUUGUAAGCAGAAAGAUCCAUGAACUGAACUGAGUGUGUCAGAUUCAGAAACAUAUAAAAUGUGCAGGGUAUUUUGCUGACAGUGUAUUUAUGUAAUGAUUGCAAAUAUUGUGGGUGAUUUGGGACUAAAAUAGUUUAAAAGCCAUUUUAAAAAGUGAUGAGGCCAUGUUUUGCGAAUUUAACGAGAAAAGAUGUUGCACUUUAAUAUCCUUUUACUGUGACUGUAUUCAGAAUAUAGCACAGCAUCUCAUACACUAUUACUGGAUAUCAGGUACAUCAGAGCUGCACAGAUGCACAGACAAAUGUGAUUGGACAGCUGAACGAAUGACAGCUGUCUGUCUAAAUAUAACAACACUGUAAGUGACAAAAACUGACACACACACACACACACACACACACAAAACUGUUUGAGACCAUAUGCUACAUUGCUGCGCAUUUGCAAAAAGUCACAGUAGCCAUAGAGGAGUCUAAUCCAGCUCAACAUCAGCUGCUGUAUUGCCGUGUUGGGAUUGGUUUCCACCUACAGAUUGUGAUGAACGGCAGUGUGGGGGGCGUUCACGAGCCUUCUGAGUACAGCUUGCUAAGAGUGUUUGCUGUCAGGCCGGGCAUAGUGGGUAUCCGUGGUGUGAAGAGUGAACGAUAUUUGUGCAUGAAUCAGGAAUGAAUUGCACAUGGCAUGGUGAGAAAGGUCAUCCAUUAUGCAAGACAUAUGAAAUUCAAUGACAAAACAUGACAUUUCUCAGAGUCACCUUUAACCCAGUAAAGACUGAGAUAUGAAAUAACAGUCAAAAAAUCUAAUGUUUUGUAAUGGAACAGUUUAUUGAACCUUUAGACAAAAUACAAAAGGAAGUCUGUAUGUGUGUUUUGUGUCAUAUUUGAUACAUCAGGCUUUUAUGGCUCAUAUUGUUUGAUGUUUGAUUCUCGAGAUUUGUUUGCCUUUAUUAACUUGACCUCAAAGUUCACAUACAACUAAUAAUAAACUACUACUAAUAGUACAACUACUGUUGUUGCUAAUGUAAGAUUACCUGCUGGUAUUAUAUACAUUUCAAUGUAGAGCAUAGGUUAACAUAACAUAAUUAUUGCAUCUCAAGUGUAUGAACAAUUAUAUGGAAGCUUGUUUUCACCACAGAAUAAAAGUAAAAAUGUUAUUGCGACUUUUUAUUUCUUUUUUUUUUUUUUUUUUUUUUUAAAUUUUUGAGAAAUAAGUCAGAAGUGUAAGUUUAUAUCUCUCAGGAUUAAUGAUACAUAUACACUAGUGCAUUUUCAUUUUAAAACACAUAACUUUUGCUAUGGUUACACCUGUUGUUUACACUACUCUGGAGACUUUCAAAAACUCUGCAGACCACAUUUUUGGCCCUGUUUACACUAGUGCUUUUCAUUUUAAAACAUCGUUUUAAAAUGGCGUUUCACUGGGUUUCAGAAAAUAAACACACUACACAACUGAAAACGCAUGUUAGUUGACCACUCAGUCUGCAUACAUCAUCAAGGAUGUUUUAAUUUAAGAGAAGUAAUCAUAAAAAAAGCAGAUUUUUGAAAACCAUGGCACAGCUGCUCACAUUUGCUCUGCGUAUCCUUGAUGACCUUGUAAAAA